GUCAAUGCAAAACUCAGAGAUCUUCCACCUCUACUUAUGUGACUGCAGAGAGGAGGACAGAGAACAGUGGACACACAGUUCAACAUGAUGGACUACAGGACAGGACUGCUGCUUCUAACUUUCUGCUGGGCAGGUGUUGAUGGUCAGACUCUGACAGAAUCUGAACCAGCAGUUAAAAGGCCUGGAGAAUCUCACAGAUUAACAUGUACAACAUCUGGAUUCACAUUUAGUGACUACUAUAUGGCCUGGAUCAGACAGGCUCCUGGAAAAGGACUGGAGUGGAUCUCUGCUAUCAGUAGUGGUGGUGGCACCACUUACUACUCUCAGUCAGUUCAGGGCCGGUUUACCAUCUCCAGAGACAACAGCAGACAGCAGCUGUAUCUGCAGAUGAGCAGUCUGAAGACUGAAGAUUCUGCUGUUUAUUAUUGUGCUCGAGACUCACAGUGACUGGAGCUGGUUGAGCAGCUGCACAAAAUCCUGCAGUAAACAUCUUUUGGGCUGGGAGAGCCCAAGCAUGAA